rnacentral:lncRNA from 1 species
CCGCCCCCCUCCCCUUUUUUUUGAGACGGAGUCACCAGGCUGGAGUGCAGUGGGGCGAUCUCGGCUCACUGCAACCUCCGCCUCCAGUCAACCCCAUUUUGAAAAGGGUUUUAAGGGGAAGGAGUUAGAAAGGGCCCAGUGAAGGAGGAGGUGGGGCUCUGGGGGUGGGGGGAAUGGCCUCCGAGCAGGGGGAGGGAGAGACAGAAACUUCCAGCAUUUCUAAAUGGCGUGGGGUUUGCCCUGGAGCCGGCGGCGGUGCACGAGUAGGAAGUCCUUUAGCAGCUGGGCAGCCGCAGGCCCGCUCCCCAGCCCGAGCCUGCACCAUGUCGUUUGACGCCUGUUGGGAGAGGGUUUUAAAUCUGCCCUGUUCUUCCAAGAUGCGUCAUAAAGCUAGCGCAGCAAAGGAGGGACGCGGUGCAGGGAGACCAAGAAUUUAAAAACAGGUCGUCCCGGGAGCCCACUGGACACGUUAGCAAAAAUGGGUUUUGCAACAUAGAGCUUUUCUUUUGCUCUUCCCACAUUCUUGCAUUUCCUCUUUGUAGAACUAUUUUGAAAUUGGCCACGCUCGUGAAAAUACGUGAUGAAAUACCUCGCAGACAAUUGAAUUAUGCAUUGGAUAUUUCUAGAUACAGAGAUGUAUUUAUAUGUUACACGAAAAAAGCGGGCGAUAACUUGGAAUCACUUCAAAAAGUAUCCACCGCGCCCGGCCAAGGCAAGGGUUUAAAACGGGAAAACGAUGUGGAAGUCAGGCAAGGAUUAUGCUAAGUACACUGUCUGUUUGUCUUGUUCCGGUGGCUGUCUUGGGUCCUAGUCCACAGGAAGCCUGUGGUCUGGCAUCAUCUCAACAAUGGCUGGAUUCUUAAUUAGACGCCUUGAGGUCACAUGUGGAAUUUUGCAGAAGAAUCUCCAGGCUUGGUCUGUCUGUCUCAAGAUUAGCGUCUGGAACCUCUAAGAAGGCACGUAACUAGACACGGGCAUACAGUUAGAUAAAUGUGAAGGGAGUUUAUACGGUGAAGAAGGGAGGGACAUGGAGUCCAUUUUAAGGCUAAGGG